AACUUAUAGUUGUUGGGAUUUGGGGUGGCAACUUGAUUCAGAACUCAUAUAGGUGGUCAACAACUGAAGGCAAUAAAUCUAUUGUCCUUGCCACUAUGCUUCGUAAGGAUUGCAAAUACGGAAAUCUGGAAACUUCAAAUUACACCACCCUUGCAUUCAACCCGGAUCAUACUGCAGCACGCGCACUUGAUGAUAUUCGCCAGAAAAUAAUAGGUGGGUUGAUUGAUAUGAAGUUUGUUCAGCAAUUUAUUGAGUGGAGGUGGGCUUUCCUAGCAAGCGAGUUGUCUACAAAGGAUCCCCGACACAGGAUGUAUACAAAGAAAGCUCGGCGCAUGUAGUAGAGAUAGUAGACAUUGGUUAUGCC